rnacentral:lncRNA from 10 species
GUGUGAUUCUGGACAUGCCACUCAACCUUUCUCCAGGCUUAAGUGAAGUUAAUGUUUUUCCUCCCACUGACUCACGAUGGUGCCUUGGGGACAGAAGAAAUGAAUGUUAGAAAGUCCAGUGCAAAUUUCUAAAAUGCCACAGGAAAAAUCAGGUAAAAAACACUUUUUUGUGAAAUGUAGCUGCUGUGUAAAAGACACGUGGCACACAGCCUUCCUGGCUCAGGGACAAAAAUAUUCAUCUUUCUAUAAUUCAAAACCAAAAGUGGAACAACACCAUGGAAGGUUUUAAGAAGGGAAGCAGAGUGUCCUUUUUAGACCAAUGAGAACAAAAAUGAAAAGAAGAAAGAUGAAAAUACACUACAAUGUCACGGUCAUUUGCACCAGUUUCCUGUGUACAGCUCUGCUGCUCUACGCUCAUUUCUCAAUCAGGUUUUGUCUCUCUUUUUUGCAUUAAAAGCUGAGAGAGGAGCUAAAACUGCCCUGAGAAGCUCCCCCGGGACCCUGCCUGAUCAUCAGGGGAAUGGGGCCUACCUCAGCAGUCUACUUUCUUCAUUCAGCCCUAUAGCCUCAGGAGAGAAGUUUGUCUCGCUCAGAGGAAGCAGUGGCCGCUCUGUCCCAUACCCUGUCAGGCCAUUUCCCAUAGGAGACUGGACCUAGGGUGUGUGCUCAGGGUCCCAGUUUCUGCGGCGUUGAGCGGGUCCGGUACUCCUUUCCACACCAGGCUGAACCCCAAGGAAGCGAAUCCAUGUCCUCGUGGAAGAAUAGGCCCCAAAGUGCCAAGCAUCAGCCCCGUCAGUGCUGCCUGGAGAGCCGCCUGUGUCCUGCAGAACUUACACCCAUGCAAGAGUGCACCCACUCAGCAAAUGCGGGACACCGUCAGGAAGAACAAGACAUCCUUGCUUCAGCUUCCCUCCUGUCACCUUUCCACUUCCCUUUGGGGAAGGUGUGCCUGGGUUUGCACACGGACUGGGGCCCCAUCCCUGUUCCCCGCUGUGUGUGGCAGGGCAAGGGAAUGCAUUUUUAAAUACCUUUCAGGCUAGGAUUCCUUUUUUUUUUUUGAUGGCAUACUCUAACUCCAACAUUUCUUCUGUAAGUAUCACCAGUUAUUUUACUAAAAUCUAGAUUUCCCAAUCCAAGUGUUAGGAAGGUACUAUGCUGCUGCUGCUUUGGGGCUUUCUGUCUGGCAACAUCUAUAAACAGUGCAAUAGUGACUGUAGUCAGUUUCACGGUCUCAUGUCUGAAUCUUUUUUUUUUUUUUUUUGACAGAGUCCCACUCUGUCUUAGCCUCCCAAGUAGCUGGGAUUACAGGCGCCUGCCUCCACGCCCAGCUAAUUUUUUAUUUUUAGUAGAGAGGGG